UACGUAGGGUGCAAGCGUUGUCCGGAUUUAUUGGGCGUAAAGAGCUCGUAGGCGGUCUGUCGCGUCGGAUGUGAAAACCCAGGGCUCAACCCUGGGCCUGCAUUCGAUACGGGCAGACUAGAGUGUGGCAGGGGAGACUGGAAUUCCUGGUGUAGCGGUGGAAUGCGCAGAUAUCGGAAGGAACACCGGUGGCGAAAGCGGGUCACUGGACCAUUACUGACGCUGAUGCACGAAAGCAAGGGGAGCAAACAGG
rnacentral:rRNA from 1 species